AGAGUUUGAUCAUGGCUCAGGAUGAACGCUAGCGGGAGGCCUAACACAUGCAAGUCGAGGGGCAGCAUUGUAGCUUGCUACAGAUGGCGACCGGCGCACGGGUGAGUAACGCGUAUGCAACCUGCCUUAUACUGAGGGAUAGCCCAGAGAAAUUUGGAUUAAUACCUCAUGGUUCCUAUGAGUCGCAUGGCUUUAAGGAUAAAGAAUUUCGGUAUAAGAUGGGCAUGCGUGACAUUAGAUUGUUGGUGAGGUAACGGCUCACCAAGUCGACGAUGUCUAGGGGUUCUGAGAGGAUGAUCCCCCACACUGGUACUGAGACACGGACCAGACUCCUACGGGAGGCAGCAGUGAGGAAUAUUGGUCAAUGGGCGCAAGCCUGAACCAGCCAUCCCGCGUGUAUGAUGACGGCCUUAUGGGUUGUAAAGUACUUUUAUCUACCAAGAAAAGCAGUUACGUGUAAUUGUCUGACGGUAGUAGAUGAAUAAGCACCGGCUAACUCCGUGCCAGCAGCCGCGGUAAUACGGAGGGUGCAAGCGUUAUCCGGAUUCAUUGGGUUUAAAGGGUGCGUAGGCGGGCUUAUAAGUCAGUGGUGAAAUCUUGCGGCUCAACCGUAAAACUGCCAUUGAUACUGUAGGUCUUGAAUACACUGGAGGUAGGCGGAAUAUGUAGUGUAGCGGUGAAAUGCUUAGAUAUUACAUAGAACACCGAUUGCGAAGGCAGCUUACUAUAGUGUUAUUGACGCUGAUGCACGAAAGCGUGGGGAG
rnacentral:rRNA from 1 species